UACGUAGGGUGCAAGCGUUGUCCGGAAUUAUUGGGCGUAAAGAGCUCGUAGGCGGUUUGUCGCGUCUGCUGUGAAAACCCGGGGCUCAACCCCGGGCCUGCAUUCGAUACGGGCAGACUAGAGUUCGGUAGGGGAGUCUGGAAUUCCUGGUGUAGCGGUGAAAUGCGCAGAUAUCGGGAGGAACACCAAUUGCGAAGGCAGCUCGCUGGGACGUUACUGACGCUGAGACGCGAAAGCGUGGGGAGCAAACAGG
rnacentral:rRNA from 1 species